GGGGUAGGGGCUCGGUGGCUGAGCAACCGACUGCAGAUCGGUAGGUCCCAGGUUCAAAUCCUGGUUGCCCCU